AUUGGUUGAAAUUGAAACCAUUUAGGUUGAAAGUCAUAGUACUAAUACCUAAAGCAGAAGAGCACACGUCU